rnacentral:rRNA from 1 species
GAUAAACGCUGGCGGCGUGCCUUAAACAUGCAAGUCGGACGGCCCUUUCGGGGGCAGUGGCGAACGGCUGAGUAACACGUAAGUAACCUAUCCUCAAGUGGGGAAUAACUGCGAGAAAUCGUAGCUAAUACCGCAUGUGGUCGAGUAGCCACAAGGCUACUGGAGUAAAGCCUCAGGGUGCUUGAGGGAGGGCUUGCGGCCGAUUAGCUAGUUGGUGAGGUAAGAGCUCACCAAGGCGACGAUCGGUAGCUGGUCUGAGAGGAUGAUCAGCCAGACUGGGACUGAGAUACGGCCCAGACUCCUACGGGUGGCAG